GUACUCUCAAGCUUUGCUUGGUGUUGGGUGUUUGUCCUUUCCUCGCGUUUGGACUCGCCUCAAAGUUAUUGGCAGCCAAUGUAUUGGUUUGAAGCGCAGCACAAUUUGCGAUUUAAGCUGGUAAUCAUUAGCCUCCAUCAAACAAUUUAACAC
rnacentral:misc_RNA from 1 species